GAGGUGAUGGUCUCCGACGUUAAUGGCACAUGUCCUCCGUGCCCCCGCCACCAGGGGUCACCAUUGCAUCUGAUAAAACUGGCUCUUGAAUAAGCAACAAACACGCUAGCUCUGUUGUUCUAGCAACAGCCGAGAUAGUCUAUUCUAGUUGACUCAAACAAAGGAAAGGGAAAUACCAAGUGCUCCCUGCAGGUCUCAACGGCAAGAAAUGGCGGGCAUCCAAACUUGAAUUCGCCUCACGUCCACUGUGUCCAGCACCUUCUACCAUUAGUGAUGAUACUGCACUUACCCCAUCAGCAUGGUUCCCACCACCGAAGACCCCCACUGCUGCACUGCAGUUUGCAUAAUUCUGUGACAUAAGGUCAGGUGAAAUAUUGUGAGGCUCAUUUAGUAAUUACAUAACUGAGAUUGACUUCUACGAGAUUCCAUGCACAUGGGUCAUGCACAGCAUGCAGCAAGAGUUGCGAACAUGAAGAACAUUCGCUUGUGGUCACCACAAGCAAACAAU